rnacentral:rRNA from 1 species
UGCUGGAGGUAUCAGAAGUGCGAAUGCUGACAUAAGUAACGAUAAAGCGGGUGAAAAGCCCGCUCGCCGGAAGACCAAGGGUUCCUGUCCAACGUUAAUCGGGGCAGGGUGAGUCGACCCCUAAGGCGAGGCCGAAAGGCGUAGUCGAUGGGAAACAGGUUAAUAUUCCUGUACUUGGUGUUACUGCGAAGGGGGGACGGAGAAGGCUAUGUUGGCCGGGCGACGGUUGUCCCGGUUUAAGCGUGUAGGCUGGUUUUCCAGGCAAAUCCGGAAAACCAAGGCUGAGGCGUGAUGACGAGGCACUACGGUGCUGAAGCGACAAAUGCCCUGCUUCCAGGAAAAGCCUCUAAGCAUCAGGUAACAUCAAAUCGUACCCCAAACCGACACAGGUGGUCAGGUAGAGAAUACCAAGGCGCUUGAGAGAACUCGGGUGAAGGAACUAGGCAAAAUGGUGCCGUAACUUCGGGAGAAGGCACGCUGAUAUGUAGGUGAAGCGACUUGCUCGUGGAGCUGAAAUCAGUCGAAGAUACCAGCUGGCUGCAACUGUUUAUUAAAAACACAGCACUGUGCAAACACGAAAGUGGACGUAUACGGUGUGACGCCUGCCCGGUGCCGGAAGGUUAAUUGAUGGGGUUAGCGG